AGACGCCAUUUGAACCGUGAGGAGAAAGGAGUUCGCCAGUCCAGUUCUCUCCGCCGUUUCAGCUCUGACAUCAUCUCGAAGCAGCUGGGUCUGGCGGGCUCGGUAUUGUAUACACAGUAUCACACUUCUAACAGUUUGGAUCGAGGGAUUUUAGUCAGCCUGUAGCUGUAAGCGAAUUUCUCACGACUUACCACCCAGCCUCUCGCACCAAUCACGGAGAUUGCACAUGCGUCAAUAUUCCAUGAGCUGAAAUGUAAUCUGGCAGUCGUCAUUAUGAUUACUUAGAGCAUUAAUGAUUCAACACGGAUAUUCGACAUGGUCUGAAUGUUCCACGUGUAAUGUUGUAAUGAAAUCAAGUCAAUCGAAAGCCUAAUAUGUAUUCAUGUGGUGUUAAUCUGGUUUGGCCACAUACCUUUUGUAUACAUACACAGCAAAAACUGUGGUGUUAACCGGUGUACAUAGAGGACUACACCAAUUAUUUUACACCGGAGGUAUAUUGAAAUAGUUAGUUUAACACCUAUAGGUGUUAUUACAACACCUUUGUUUUUGACAUUUACACUCUUUGGUUUUAUGUUCAAUUUCUAGGGUGUAAUUUUAACACCUCAGGAUGUGGUCUUCUAUUAACACCAACUGGUGUCAGUUUUAACACCAUAGUUUUUACAGUGUAGCAAGAUCAAUUUUAUUCGAUAAAGGGCGUAUUUCGUUUGUUAUUCGUCAUUCGUUUGGUAUAUAGCUAUAUAUGUUUUAUUAUUUUAGAGUAAAGAUGUAUAUUGAUUGCUCCGCAUUUAUGAUCGUUGAAUUUUACAUUUUAAGAGAUCGAAUACCGUUCAUUUUUUAAUUUUUUUUGUGUAUUAAGAAUGGGCGAAAUCGAUGUCUUCAGUGUUUCGAAAAGAUCCCACGUUAAAUUUAGAAUUUGGUGAGCAUAAUUAUAUAUUAUAAAGAUUUAAAUAAUAAAUGAAUAAAGAUUUUAUUAUGUAACAACACAAUCCUCUCGGCUUCUCAAACGUAUAUUAAAAAAAUGUAUUUACUGUUAUUUGUAUAGAUUUUGGUAUAAUAUUUCCGAUCUCAUACCACCAUACUUGCAAAAAAAAGACCAACACUGUAAAAACGCUGUUUAAAAUUUUAAGCGCGUUGUGUAAGCCCGUCACUGUAACAACUUUUUAAACAACUGUUUAAACUUAGUAUACGCACUUAGUAUACAUGGUAAACAGACUAUGGCCCGUAUUCUGAAGUCAGGUUUAACUUAGACCAUGGUCUAAGUCUGUGCUCAAGUUAUGGGGAGCCAAAAACUCUAACAUUCUGUUUUUAUUGUAUAUUUCUUAUGUUUACUAUUUUGUUUCCUUUUGAUUUCAUAAUGAUGAAAAUACUUCAAAAUACUUCAUUCCCUGACAAUUUGGAUGUCAUAUGAGUUAAUAAAUUGGAUGUGUACUGUUAGGGAUUAGUGCCCCAAUUGGCUCUCCAUAUUUAAACCACAACUUUAAACCCGAGUUCGGAAUACGGGCCUAUGGCGUAGGCCUACAUUACGCGAAAGAAAAUUCGCAAUUGUAUUACCAUACAUAGACCGAAAAUUACACCUGAUCAGUAUACAUUGUGUGGCGUAAAACUCUAGCCGUCGAAGACAGAAUUUGUAAUUUAGUAUAUUUUAAACCUCGAAGCUGAAAACACCCCAAAUGUGUUUCAUAUUUUUAGUGAAAACUUUCAAUAACGAAGUACCGAAAACAAACACUUUCGGCACAUUUUGUGCUCAAUAUGUGGUGAGUGACCCCGGAACCUGCAUGUAGUUCUUAAAUGAUCACAAUUGAAUGAUAGUUUGGAAUUGUUUUUUUUUUAUUGAAAAUAGUGGCAACAGAUAAAUGGUAUACAGUAUUAUAAUUUCCGUUGACAUAACAUCGCCCUGUUUGGAGUCGGUUUCGUUACUAAGACUGCGGCAUUAAUUGAUAUGGUAAAACUAUGACGAAAAUGAUAAAAAGCUAAUAUACAAUGCUUAUCGUUAUUGUUACUGUGAUAUUAUACGAUUAAUCAUCUUUACUGUAUACAUUUUUAAACAAUCCAUUCACCUUCGGUUCGCUUCAUUUACAACAGCAUGAAGGUUUUUUAAUUGAAUAAUAGAUUCGUUAUGUGAAAAUAACGGUAACUUAAAUGAAUUUGACCAUUUUGUUAUGUAAAUUAAACAGAAAUCAUUAUUUCUUUGCUGAAUUAUGUAACAUUUUUCUGGGGAAAAGAGUAGUGAAACUGUGAAAAAUAGGACAUUACUACCAUCGCCUGAGUGAACAGACUGGAAUUAUUGUAUGGAAUUAUAUUUUUGUUAUUAACGGUAGCAUUGUCAAUCUGAACGUAGAAUGUUCAUAAUGUAUAUUGAUACGUAUUAUUGUCAAUUUUUUUUUCUUUUAAAUACGAUCCAAACCGAAUUAAUUUGGAUUUUUGCGAAAUGAUCAAAUCCUUCCUCUAAGUGUUAUAGCUGUAUAAUCGAUGGAAGAAAGAGUUUUAUUCAAUAUUUAUUGUCACACCUCCGAUUACUUCAGAAUGACAGUCUAUGAUGUUUUUUUUUCCCGAGAAUGUGAUUGGAAUUUCGUGAAUUAAUUGAAAUGAAUGCGAACUAAAUUGCAAUUGUAUUUUUAUAAUUUCCAUGUUUACUACAAAGUUAAUGAUCUCAUGUAUAUUUGUUUGAAUAUUAUUUUCUUUCUGUCUGUUCUGGACCAAAACUUACUUAAAUUGAAUGAAUUUGGAAUUAUAUAUUUAAAACUGUUAUUGAAGAAAUGUCAGAGCUUAACCAAAGAAAUGCUUUUUUAAAGUUCCAAUAGCAGUAUUUUUUGUCUGUUUUCCUUUGCAUAGGAAACAAUGACAUGUGUAAAAUGAUUACUAGGUCUUUUCUGUGUUGGUCCAUAUUUAGUUGUGUUGGGUAUAUGCAGGUUUGUGAAUAUGUUGUUACAAGAAGUAUCUUUUAGUAGUUUCUAGAAAUUUACUUGCAAUCAAUUUUCCAUUAUCAGUAAUGAAUUUCUGAGUGAUAGAUCAAUUUUAAGUAUAAAAAUCAGUAUGAUUUUUAUCACAAGAAGUGGAUCCAGAAGUUAAAUGUAAAUUUGUAAUUAAUCGCAAGACUUAUUAUUGAUUUAACGAUCAAAAUUUUAAUUUCAAUCGAUUGCGAGUUAAACCCUAUGUAGAGUAAGAUGACAUCAAAGUCAGCAUGAAGCUGUUGAGUUUCAAUAAAUGUAUUUUUGCACUGAA